GGGCCCGCACAAGCAGUGGAGCAUGUGGUUUAAUUCGAUGCAACGCGAAGAACCUUACCAGGGUUUGACAUCCUGCGAAUUUCUGGGAAACCGGAAAGUGCCUUCGGGAGCGCAGUGACAGGUGGUGCAUGGCUGUCGUCAGCUCGUGUCGUGAGAUGUUGGGUUAAGUCCCGCAACGAGCGCAACCCACGUCUUUAGUUGCCAGCAUUGAGUUGGGCACUCUAGAGAGACCGCCGGUGAUAAACCGGAGGAAGGUGUGGAUGACGUCAAGUCAUCAUGCCCCUUACAUCCUGGGCUACACACGUACUACAAUGCUACGGACAAAGGGCAGCAAACUCGCGAGAGCUAGCAAAUCCCAUAAACCGUGGCUCAGUUCAGAUCGUAGGCUGCAACUCGCCUACGUGAAGGCGGAAUCGCUAGUAAUCGCAGGUC
rnacentral:rRNA from 1 species